rnacentral:rRNA from 1 species
GACGAACGCUGGCGGCGUGCUUAACACAUGCAAGUCGAACGAUGAAGCCGGAGCUUGCUUCGGUGGAAUAGUGGCGAACGGGUGAGUAACACGUGAGUAACCUGCCCUUGACUCUGGGAUAACUGCGGGAAACUGUAGCUUAUACCGGAUACGACCCUCGGCGGCAUCGCCAGGGGGUGGAAAGAAUUUCGGUCAAGGAUGGACUCGCGGCCCAUUAGCUAGUUGGUGAGGUAACGGGCCACCAAGGCGACGACGGGUAGCCGGCCUGAGAGGGGGACCGGCCACACUGGGAAUGAGAGACGGCCCAGACUCCUACGGGAGGCAGCAGCGGGGAAUAUUGCACAAUGAGGGCAAGCCUGAUGCAGCAACGCGGCGUGUGGGAUGACGGCCUUCGGGUUGUAAACCUCUUUUAGUAGGGAAGAAGCGAAAGUGACGGUACCUGCAGAAAAAGCACCGGCUAACUACGUGCCAGCAGCCGCAGUAA